UUCCCUGGAGUGCGCGUCAGUCGAUCCGCGUCCCUGAGCCGAUAAGCAUAAAUUAGGGGAAGUUAUUUGAGUCUAUUGAGCAAGCUCGGCUCGUACCGAGAAGCCUGCGGAGUCAUUCACUUUCCCGCCUUGAACCGCUGGGUUCAAGGGCAAAAGAUCAACAACGGCACUCUGGGGGU
rnacentral:other from 1 species